UGCUGGAGCGAAUAGAAGUGAGCAUGCAGGCAUGAGUAGCGAUAAUUAAUGUGAGAAUCAUUAACGCCGUAAACCCAAGGUUUCCUACGCGAUGCUCGUCAUCGUAGGGUUAGUCGGGUCCUAAGUCGAGUCCGAAAGGGGUAGACGAUGGCAAAUUGGUUAAUAUUCCAAUACCAACAUUAGUGUGCGAUGGAAGGACGCUUAGGGCUAAGGGGGCUAGCGGAUGGAAGUGCUAGUCUAAGGUCGUAGGAGGUUAUACAGGCAAAUCCGUAUAACAAUACUCCGAGAACUGAAAGGCUUUUUGAAGUCUUCGGAUGGAUAGAAGAACCCCUGAUGCCGUCGAGCCAAGAAAAGUUUCUAAGUUUAGCUAAUGUUGCCCGUACCGUAAACCGACACAGGUGGGUGGGAUGAGUAUUCUAAGGCGCGUGGAAGAACUCUCUUUAAGGAACUCUGCAAAAUAGCACCGUAUCUUCGGUAUAAGGUGUGGUUCGCUUCGUAUUAGGAUUUACUCCGAAAGCGAAGAAACUUACAACAAAGAGUCCCUCCCGACUGUUUACCAAAAACACAGCACUCUGCUAACUCGUAAGAGGAUGUAUAGGGUGUGACGCCUGCCC
rnacentral:rRNA from 1 species